rnacentral:rRNA from 1 species
GACGAAGGACCCAAGCGUUAUCCGGAUUCAUUGGGCUUAAAGGGUGCGUAGGCGGGUUGAUAAGUCAGAGGUGAAAGCCCAACGCUUAACGUUGGAACUGCCAUUGAUACUGUCGAUCUUGAAUGUGUUUGAUGUGGGCGGAAUAUGACAUGUAGCGGUGAAAUGCUUAGAUAUGGCAUAGAACACCGAUUGCGAAGGCAGCGGACAAAGCCACUAUUGACGCUGAGGCACGAAAGCGUGGGGAUCAAACAGG